CGGCGACACCUAGCGAGCGAGCGACAGGCUGCGGCCGGGGAGCGAGCCCAACUUCGGCUCUCAACUUUGUUUUCGCUGCAGUAAACGCUGACAGAAGCGUCGGGGACAUCUGUGGCGUGACAGCAGACUUCCUUCUCUGCCGGGAACUGCACUGAGCCCUGUGGGAUCACCACUUCAGUAUUCCAGAAGGAAGCAAUGGAAGACUUCAGUUACCUGUGAACAGACUUGUCCUAUGAAGUAUUACAGCACGUACGUAAGAUUUCAGAAGUAAUUGGUUUUUGAAGUGAAAACUCAGGUUAAUCCCAAGAACAGAAGACCUUGUCGGAAUAUGCUGGAGAAACAUCACUGUAAUAGUGACUGUUUCAGAAAAAAAGCAACCUUGUAGUUGCUGUUUGCUCUAGUGGAUAAUCUAUUCCUGAAUAGAUCUUCAGUGCCAAAGGAAUAUAAAGUGACAAAUACCAUUUCAGUCUGUGAAACAAUCUCUCUGUUUCCUGAGCACUACAAAACAGAUCUUUCUCAGAGGUAAACUGAAUUUCUCUGAGCUAAAUACAGUAAUAGGAGAAUUAGGAAAUACAUAUAAUGGUUUAUAGAAGACUAAAUGUGAGAUUUUUUUGUAUUACAAAAUAAUGCCUCGCGCUCUGCUAGAAUUUUGAGGGCCUGGUGCACACGUGGCUAGCAUAGUUCAUGUGCUAUUGCAGGUCACCUAGAAGAAAGCUAAUUAUGAUCUUUAGCAAAAACCCAAAGUUAUACAUGUUUGUCAAAAUCAGAACUUGACUGUAAAGACUUAAAGAUUUGUCUACUGCUAAGAUAACAAAAUGGGAACUGCAGAUGCUGCUAUGUAUGUGGGAAAAAUAAAAAUAUAAAAAAGCAUAUGCAGCAACAGUUUUUAAUUGGAAAAACAUUUCUGACAGUCUACUGAAAAGCAUUUGGUCAGUCCCCUGUAACAUUCAAAAAGCAUGUAGGAGUAUUAGGAAUAAUGCAGCUAUAAUGUGUAGGGCUGUGACUGAAAAAGACUACAUAGGAUCUAAAAGACGUACGGGAAAAGAUUUUCAAAGUAAUCAGUUCUGUGAUUGGGUUACAGUGCACAAUGAGGUUAAAUACACUAGGAAUUUUCAAUAAUAAGACACAGAGAUUAAGGGCCAAAUAUUAUGGAAGUAUAGAAAAUCAUAAGCAUUUUAAUUGCCAUGGGAUAGCACGGUGAUGAAAAUGGGUUUAUCGUUUUUCUGGAGGAUAAGUCUGCAAGGAUCUGUUAAACAUAAUUAUCCAAAUGUGACCUCUGGCUCUGGAGGGCUAUCAGAUAUGCUUUUCCCUCUUCCAUGUGUCUGCUGAUCUGAUUCCUUCAAAGGCUUUUUUUUACUGCCUAAAAUAAUCAACUUUCAUUUGCCUGCCACUGAGGUAUUAUGAAAGCUUGAAGCAAUGUUUAAUUUUGCCUUGGAAAAGAAACUAUAUCUACAAGAACUUGAAACAUGUAUUAUGCUGAAGAAAAUACAUUCUCAUGUUUUAUGCUUGCUUAUUUAAUGGUUUUCCUGCAUUUGAAGCACAAAAGUAAAAUGUGAUCUCUUUAUUUGUAUGAAAUCGUUCAUGGAGCUCAGAACAUGAGUAGAAAGAUAUUAUGCUCCAAAGAUAUUGCUUUGUGAUUGAUUCAGGUGAUUUGCGAGUAUGUAGGGCUAUGACACGUUAUUGUAAUCAAAGAAAUGUUUGUAUAGCAUCAGCAAUGCAUGCAUUGCAAGGCCAGAAAACAUUGUGCUAACUGCCUGCUUUAAUCAGAGGACAGAGGUAGUAAAGCUUAACUGAAUUAUCUCUUGUCAAGCUAUUCUUGUACUGUAUCUCUUAAUUAUUUUAAAAGAGUUUACGUAUUUUCCAACUACCAAGCAAUAGAAACAAAUAUUUAAUAACUCUCCUAACAUUGCCUUUGUAGUGUCAGCUUUGUUUCAGAAAUAUGCUGUCUUAUUUCCUACAGAAUUUCCUUUCUGUGCCCUUUAUUGCUUCUCACUUACCUUAAUAACAUCCUUUAAUCUUUGCCCUUGGGACUAAAUAAUGGAUGUUCAACACCAUCUUUACUUUUGAAUGAUGCUUGAAAUGCAGAGCAGCAUAGUUUAUUUAUCCUUCAAAUCUAAGGAUACUUAGAAUUCCCAAUGCUUAAGCUCUGAAGACUAAGUAUAGGGCAACAAAUAAUGUUUUUCUGCAUAGCAGCCUUCAUGGCUGCCAGUUAGAUAGUUAUUCAGAUAUGUGUUUUUUGAUUAGUUGAUCAGCUGAUUUUUUUUCUUUCCAGUUUUCUGCUGUUCUGCCAGCUCUGCUGUUUGUCAGGCUUUGCAGGAGAAAGCCAGCUGUCCUGUUAAAUUACCAGUCUUUUCAAGAGGAAGUCAACUUCAGCGUUCUUUUAACUGAUAGAUAAACCUACACUGCCAGAAACAAAAAAAAUAAAGAAAGAAAGAAAAAAACUUGUACAACUGUACUCAAUAUCUAGCUUCAUGACUACAAAUGCUCUCAUAGUUGUGUGAGGAUGAGAAAUAUCUAAAAUUUGUCUAUAUCGUCAUAAAUAUUGUAAGCACAUUGCUUCUGUGUUUCUUUUUUUCACUGUUACAGGGCAGUAAGCACCUGAAGAAGUGGUUUCUUACUCUUACUGAAUUAUAUAGAAUCACAGAAUGGCUUAGAUUGGAGGGGAUCUUAAAGGUCAUCUAGUUCCAACCCUCCUGCCGUGGGUUGCCUAUCACUAGAGCAGGCUGCCCAGGAUCCCAUCCAACCUGGCCUUGAAUGCUUCCAGAGAUGGGCCAUCCACAACCUAACAUCUAACCUCAAUCUCUCCUCUCUUAGUUUUUAGCCAUUGCCCCUUUCCUGCCACUACUAGACUGUGUAAAAAGUCCUCAAGUAUAAAAAGCUCCCCGCAGAUACUGUGGAAGACCACCAUGAGGUCUCCCCAGAGCCUUCUCUUCUCCAAGCUAAACAAACACAGUUCCCUCAACCUUUUCUCAUAGGAGAGGUGCUCCAGCCCCUUGAUCAUCUUCAUGGCCCCUCUCUGGAUCCACUUCAACAGCUCUGCAUCCCUCCUGUACUGAGGGCCUCAGGCCUGGAUGCAGUACUCCAGAUGGGGCCUUACAAGGGCAGAGUAGAAGCCACCCAUCCCAUUCCACUGCUUAUACUUUUCCUCUUUUCUGUCAGCUUGGUCGGCAGGUCCUUGCUCAGCCAUGCUGCUUUACUUCCUCAUCUGCCUGAUUUCUUAUUCUGGGAGAUGGAGUCCUCUUGUGCUUGAUGCUUCUUUCAAGAAAAACAUCUUUGUGAUACCCUCUCUUGCUCUUUGGUUGCUAUGGUUUUGCUGUUUAAAACUAAAAAAGUAAAGGAACACUGAUUGUAGCUGGACAUAAUUACUUUCAGGUUUUACUUUUGUUUGUACAUGAGAUUGAAUUAAUCAUUACAUUGGUUUCUUCUACUGUAUAAGCAUGCCCAUAUACCUUGUAAUGUAGCUUGGUUUUAAGUCCAUUUAAAACAAGAAAUGAAAAGUAUAUUUACAUCAUUUUACUUUUUAUUUUUCCAGUUUAGCAAAAGCAGUUUAAAAACCGCAUUCAAAAGUGAAAUGAGACACAGCAAUGUAAACAAGCCUAUGACCACAUACAGCU
ensembl:lncRNA